UACGUAGGGCGCAAGCGUUGUCCGGAAUUAUUGGGCGUAAAGAGCUCGUAGGCGGCUUGUCACGUCGGGUGUGAAAGCCCGGGGCUUAACCCCGGGUCUGCAUUCGAUACGGGCUAGCUAGAGUGUGGUAGGGGAGAUCGGAAUUCCUGGUGUAGCGGUGAAAUGCGCAGAUAUCAGGAGGAACACCGGUGGCGAAGGCGAGUCCCUGGACAACACCUGACACUGAGGCACGAAAGCUAGGGGAGCGAACGGG
rnacentral:rRNA from 1 species